rnacentral:rRNA from 1 species
UACGUAGGCAGCAAGCGUUGUUCGGAAUUACUGGGCGUAAAGAGUGUGUAGGCGGUGCUCUAAGUUCGUUGUGAAAUCUCCCGGCUUAACUGGGAGGGUGCGGCGGAAACUGGAGUGCUUGAGCGCGGGAGAGGGAAAGCGGAAUUCCUGGUGUAGCGGUGAAAUGCGUAGAUAUCAGGAGGAACACCGAUGGCGAAGGCAGGUCUCUGGGCCACUACUGACGCUGGAGAAGCGAAAGCAUGGGGAGCGAACAGG